CUGUUUACAAUUUACACAUCUAUUUUUAUCCAUUUCUCUGCAGCAUGUGUAAGUAAGCCUGGCUGCUAUUUCGAUACCCAGUUUCACUCUGGAAUUCCCAAUGCUGAUCUAUAUCACAUCUAAUCUCUGAGACAUGAUAAAUUAAAGCUAUCUUUCUGAUCAUCGAGGAGAGCAUCUGAAAUCAUUUCUGGAACAAUAUGGAAUGGAGGAAGAAGAUUAGCAAGGCUUUCAGCAAGCUUGGUAGUCACUGCACUAGAACUUUGGGCUGAGUACAAACUUCCAAUGACUGAACAUAUCAGCUAAGGCCCUGCCAACAGCCAUGACCUUCAGAAGUAAUCAGGAGAAAGAAAGGCCAUGUAACAAGCAAGAUGGUGGAGUGGUUGAUUUUUGGAACCCCAAAAAACUUCAGAAAAAAGGUCUGAGAAGAAGUACUAAUCACCACCUGACCUGGCCUUUGGUUUGUGAUUUCUUGGCUCCCAGAGACCCUAUUUCUCUUCCAUGGAUGUAUAAACACAGGCUACUCUCUCCUUCACUGACUGAAAGAGGAAGUAUGCUCAGUUUCUCUUGACAUCCAGGGCUCUCUGAUACCCUUUAGGGGAUCUGAGAAUCUGACUCUGUCACUGUCUCUAGCCACACACACACCCCAUGUUCCCACAAUUUAUGGGUAGUCCCUUGCAUCUCAAGUCCAUUUAGGUAAUAAUAGCUGGAUUAGCUUUUACACAGAAAUGCUGACUUCAAAAUGCACCAUCACAAAUA
rnacentral:lncRNA from 1 species